rnacentral:rRNA from 1 species
UACAGAGGGGGCAAGCGUUGUUCGGAAUUACUGGGCGUAAAGGGCGCGUAGGCGGCCUUCUAAGUCGAACGUGAAAUCCCCGGGCUCAACCCGGGAACUGCGUCCGAGACUGGAAGGCUUGAAUCCGGGAGAGGGAUGUGGAAUUCCAGGUGUAGCGGUGAAAUGCGUAGAUAUCUGGAGGAACACCUGCGGUGUAGACGGCUUACUGGACCAUAACUGACGCUGAGGCACGAAAGCGUGGGUAGCAAACAGG